GUGCUCUAUUUGGCAGUGUGAAUACUGAAAUUUGAAUGAUACAGACAAGAUUUCAUAUGCCCCCUUGGAAGAAUGACAUGUAAAUUUAUGAAGUGUUCUAUAUUUCG
rnacentral:snRNA from 1 species